rnacentral:tRNA from 1 species
GCGAAAGUGGCGGAAUUGGCAGACGCGCUAGAUUCAGGUUCUAGUGGGAAAUCUCCCAUGGGGGUUCGACUCCCCCCUUUCGCACCA